rnacentral:sRNA from 21 species
GUCAGCACCCCGCACUAAAGUGACGGGGCUUCAUGCCCCAGAAUUUUGGUUAGUUGACCAGCCUAAGUACUUCAAGUACUACGUUUAAAGGCAAGUCGUGCG